rnacentral:lncRNA from 1 species
AAAAAAAAGCAAUGUAAGAGAAUGAUUAAGUUGAGGCAAUAGGAAUCAAAGGCAAAGUCAAAGACAAAUCAAAUCAGUAGGGUAAACUGGAAAUAGCACCAAUGAUGAGCAACAACAGAAUAACAUUUAAGUCAUCAGAAAACUCGGGCAAAUCAUGAUAUACAAUGCGUUGGCAUAGACAUGAAGCUACCUUUACUUCCUCAUAAUUCAGAUAUCAAUACACGCCGAUAUCCCUACAAGUCAGAGAAUAUUUUCACUUGGAAAGGUAAACAAUAUCGCAAUUAAUAACAAAAGAAAGUACCUCAUGAUAACUAGACAUUAAGGUACAGAGACAGCA